rnacentral:rRNA from 1 species
AUAGACCUGGCGGAAUGUUACACAUGCAGUCGAACGGCAGCACGGACUUCGGUCUGGUGGCGAGUGGCGAACGGGUGAGUAAUACAUCGGAACGUGCCCAGUCGUGGGGGAUAACGUAGCGAAAGCUACGCUAAUACCGCAUACGAUCUAAGGAUGAAAGCGGGGGAUCGCAAGACCUCGCGCGAUUGGAGCGGCCGAUGGCAGAUUAGGUAGUUGGUAGGGUAAAGGCCUACCAAGCCGACGAUCUGUAGCUGGUCUGAGAGGACGACCAGCCACACUGGGACUGAGACACGGCCCAGACUCCUACGGGAGGCAGCAGUGGGGAAUUUUGGACAAUGGGCGAAAGCCUGAUCCAGCCAUUCCGCGUGCAGGAUGAAGGCCCUCGGGUUGUAAACUGCUUUUGUACGGAACGAAAAGGUCCUGGUUAAUACCUGGGGCUCAUGACGGUACCGUAAGAAUAAGCACCGGCUAACUACGUGCCAGCAGCCGCGGUAAUACGUAGGGUGCAAGCGUUAAUCGGAAUUACUGGGCGUAAAGCGUGCGCAGGCGGUGAUGUAAGACAGAGGUGAAAUCCCCGGG